CACAACGGAAGAGUGAGUGAGCCCUAUUCUAUCAUACUCCAUUUGGAAAAUCCAUGCCGUCCAUAGACACAGGUCGUGGCUAAAUGAAAACAUGGAAAGAAAUCAGCAUUCUGGACAGUGGGAAUAUGGCUGCAAAUGACUGAAGGCUCUCAGAGUGGAGAAGGGCCUUGAUGGCUAGUCACUGACAUCUGACUUGGGAGUCGUCUUCAGAGCAAGCCCCAAACCGCAUGUCUAUAUUUGGGAGUGCCAAACACCCAAACACCCAAAGCACACACUUCACUUACUCUACCCUCAGGUCCAGAGUCCUUUACAGACAGACAAGAACUGCAAAGCUGCCAGAAGCCAGGCAUCAUGGAGACACCCACCUUGCCCUGUGCCAUCCUGGCAGUGACUCAGGGGUCCUUACUACCUGCUCCCCACCCCCCACCCCCUCACCAAGUGUGGUCCUGGAAACAACAGCAUCAGCAUCUCCUAGGAGCUGGUUAGAAAUGCAGAGUCUCAGGCUCUACCCAGAACUAUGCCUAAAGCCAAACAUGGUAACAAUGGCCACAGGACAUAGGUCACGGGACACAGGAAGCUCUAUUCUGAACACACCUGAUGCUUUACAGAAAACAGGCCACUUCUCAGUUCCAUCCCUGUCCUCAUGUCUCAAAUACCCUGUUCCUGGGUCAAGUGGAACAUCAACUUAAAGACAAGGCAGCAAGCCUUUCCUCCGGCCUGCAGAGGCAGACGGAGGCUGAACAUUUGGAUUUUCAGAGGGCUUUGAGAGGCUGGCCUCACCUGUGGGGGCCAGGUGGGCUCAUCUUUGAUGCUCAGCAGGAGCCUGAAGCUGCUCACACAGCACAGGUCCCCUCAUAAGGAACUGGGUGCUGCCUGAACAAAUGCCCCCCCAAAAGGUGGGGGAGGAGGAAACCUGAGAAAAGCUCUACUGUAACCAGGAGAAGGACCUCUACCCUCCAGAAUCCCUGAAGCCUCAGCCUGGGCCCCAGAAUGAACACAUAUGGAACAGACCUAUGGUCGAUCUACAGCAAGAGGCCGAAUGUAGUUAAACUGCAGCGUGAAGCAGAGCCACUCAGCUGAGACAACCCAGAUCAGUCUACUUUCAGCCAAUUCAACAGAAGCACGAAAAAGAAUAAAUGACUGCUGGUGUAA